UUAAAGUAAAUUUAAAGAAAAAAGCAGAGGAUGAGGGCAUGCAGUAAGUGGAGUGGUUACAAAGGGUGACAGUGAAGCAGCUAUGCAUAUGGCUUCCAC
rnacentral:lncRNA from 1 species